rnacentral:rRNA from 1 species
GAUGAACGCUGGCGGCGUGCCUAAUACAUGCAAGUCGAGCGAACGGACGAGAAGCUUGCUUCUCUGAUGUUAGCGGCGGACGGGUGAGUAACACGUGGAUAACCUACCUAUAAGACUGGGAUAACUUCGGGAAACCGGAGCUAAUACCGGAUGAUAUUUUGAACCGCAUGGUUCAAAAGUGAAAGACGGUCUUGCUGUCACUUAUAGAUGGAUCCGCGCUGCAUUAGCUAGUUGGUAAGGUAACGGCUUACCAAGGCAACGAUGCAUAGCCGACCUGAGAGGGUGAUCGGCCACACUGGAACUGAGGCACGGUCCAGACUCCUACGGGAGGCAGCAGUAGGGAAUCUUCCGCAAUGGGCGAAAGCCUGACGGAGCAACGCCGCGUGAGUGAUGAAGGUCUUCGGAUCGUAAAACUCUGUUAUUAGGGAAGAACAUAUGUGUAAGUAACUGUGCACAUCUUGACAGUACCUAAUCAGAAAGCCACGGCUAACUACGUG